AAUAUUGCACAAUGGGGGAAACCCUGAUGCAGCAACGCCGCGUGAGCGAUGAAGGNUUNNGAGUCNUNAAGCUCUGUCCUAAGNNNNNAUAAUGACGGUCCCUUAGGAGGAAGCCCCGGCUAACUACGUGCCAGCAGCCGCGGUAAUACGUAGGGGGCAAGCGUUAUCCGGAAUUAUUGGGCGUAAAGGGUGCGCAGGCGGCCCUGUGGGUCAGAAGUCAAAGGCUACGGCUUAACCGCAGUUAGCUUUUGAAACUGCAGGGCUUGAGUGCAGGAGAGGAGAGUGGAAUUCCUAGUGUAGCGGUGAAAUGCGUAGAUAUUAGGAGGAACACCAGUGGCGAAGGCGACUCUCUGGACUGCAACUGACGCUGAGGCACGAAAGCGUGGGUAGCAAACAGG
rnacentral:rRNA from 1 species